AUUGAACGCUGGCGGCAGGCCUAACACAUGCCAGUCGAGCGGAUGAAGGGAGCUUGCUCCUGGAUUCAGCGGCGGACGGGUGAGUAAUGCCUAGGAAUCUGCCUGGUAGUGGGGGAUAACGUCCGGAAACGGGCGCUAAUACCGCAUACGUCCUGAGGGAGAAAGUGGGGGAUCUUCGGACCUCACGCUAUCAGAUGAGCCUAGGUCGGAUUAGCUAGUUGGUGGGGUAAAGGCCUACCAAGGCGACGAUCCGUAACUGGUCUGAGAGGAUGAUCAGUCACACUGGAACUGAGACACGGUCCAGACUCCUACGGGAGGCAGCAGUGGGGAAUAUUGGACAAUGGGCGAAAGCCUGAUCCAGCCAUGCCGCGUGUGUGAAGAAGGUCUUCGGAUUGUAAAGCACUUUAAGUUGGGAGGAAGGGCAGUAAGUUAAUACCUUGCUGUUUUGACGUUACCAACAGAAUAAGCACCGGCGAACUUCGU
rnacentral:rRNA from 1 species